CAGGCCUAACACAUGCAAGUCGGACGGUAGCACAGAGAGCUUGCUCUUGGGUGACGAGUGGCGGACGGGUGAGUAAUGUCUGGGGAUCUGCCCGAUAGAGGGGGAUAACCACUGGAAACGGUGGCUAAUACCGCAUAACGUCGCAAGACCAAAGAGGGGGACCUUCGGGCCUCUCACUAUCGGAUGAACCCAGAUGGGAUUAGCUAGUAGGCGGGGUAAUGGCCCACCUAGGCGACGAUCCCUAGCUGGUCUGAGAGGAUGACCAGCCACACUGGAACUGAGACACGGUCCAGACUCCUACGGGAGGCAGCAGUGGGGAAUAUUGCACAAUGGGCGCAAGCCUGAUGCAGCCAUGCCGCGUGUAUGAAGAAGGCCUUCGGGUUGUAAAGUACUUUCAGCGGGGAGGAAGGCGGUGCGGUUAAUAACCGCGUCGAUUGACGUUACCCGCAGAAGAAGCACCGGCUAACUCCGUGCCAGCAGCCGCGGUAAU
rnacentral:rRNA from 1 species